UUUCUUUAAAAAUAAUUUUUUUUAUGUACGCCAUUUUCGCAAAAAAUAAAAAAAUUUUCGUCUGUACUUCGCUAGAAAAAAAUGUUUAGAUCUUAAAAACUUUGCGUUUUUUGUCCGAUAUGCAAUCAUUCGAGAUGUAAUAAUGUGGAAACGUCCAUUCAUCAUCGUGAUAGUGCAACGCGCGAGAUGUUACGCCGCUCAAUGAAGGCCGCACGUUAUUAAUUAUAUCGUAACGUCAUCGUAACGAGAUCAAAAAUUCUAAGAGAAAUCCGUCCACCCGUGAGACGCUUCCAAAAAAUAAGGGCUAUGCUACUGGACGUCUAUCGUCGACAUUUUUUAUUAAAAAACAAUAAAAAAUUAUUUUGUAUACUUAAAAAAAUUAACAAUCAAAUACUUAACUUGAAUUUUCUUUCUUGUAUUACUUAUCUUCGUAAAUAAUCGUUAAAUUUUUUUUUUUGUGCAGUGGCCUAAUCUUUUAAGGGAAAAACGGUAUUUGUUAUAAUACACCAAAAUACAUCAGCUUGACAGUUCAGAAAUUAAAAUCAAAACCAACAUGCUUUUCCAUGGCAACUGGGCGAUCGAUAAUAUUGAUCCGCUGGACCAGCUGACUCGCGUGGCCCGGGAUCAUACUGGGCGACGCGUGCAACACUGCCCCCCUUCUUCAGAGUUGUCGUUCGGACAAUUCGAAGGGUGAAGACACGAACCCUCCGACGUCUCUUUGAUUUAACCCGAGCAACGAGUUAUCGAGUGUCGUGAUUCGUUCCUAGAACCUCUUCAAGAAACGACACUCUUGUACAAAAAUUAAUACAAGAGUGUUGUUUCCUAAAUUAUGUGUCCCAAAGUAAAUUGAUUCAGUCAUAAUUAAUAUUUUGUUAUGUCAAAAGCAAGAUUAAAAUAUUUGAAUUACAUAUCUGUAAGAGAUCCUAGGAACAAAUCGUUGUCGAAUAGUGUACCAGUAAAUAGAGAGCGCGCGGACGAUAGAAUUUGUGCGUGCAAAUCCACACUAAUUUUCGCUUAAUAAGGCACGGUGCAUGCGGCACGUGCGCCUUAUCACGUGCGUAUGAGCUAAAGAGAAAGGGGUAAAAAAACUGGGAAGGGAAGAGGAGAAAAAUUGAGUCGGGUCGAGGGUAAUAGUAAUUAGGAAUAUGAAGCGCUUCCUUUCUCUCUCAAAUUGCUUCGAGGAUGGGAGAAUACAACAUGCAGGCUUCAAUUAGAGACGCAAUAUAUCACUUAGAGAAUGCGUGCCCCAUUGAAAAACACAAUCUAGUUUCGAGGAUUACUUUCUUUAUAGAAUUAACAACAAAAGCCUAGAAAAAAUUGAGUUAAAUAAAAAACUUGACUGCGUCAUAAUAAAGAAAAAACGUCAUCACUUUAGUAUUGAUUCUGAACUAAAUAUUGUAAAUUAUUUUAUAAACUUUGUCAUAAAAUUUCUUAAAAUAUACAUAUACAGGAUAUCUAGAAAGAUUUUGAUUUAUAUCAACUUGAUUUUAAAAUUUGUCUUUUGGACAUUCUUAUAUAAAUGUGUGUGUGUGUGUGUGUGUGUGUGUGAAACACACUUUGGUGUAAGCAAUUUGCAAAGUGAUAGUGCAGAAUAAACAAUCGUGCGUUUCGCUUAUUUCAAAUUAACGAAUAAGAGUAAGAUUGUUAACUUGCGAUCAAAGAAAUGACGUUACGAUUUAAUUAAUAACGUGCGGCCUUCAUUAAGCGGCGUAACAUUUCACGCGUUGCACUAUCACGAUGAUGAAUGGACAUUUCCGCAUUAUUACAUCUCAGAUGAUUGCAUAUCGGAGAGAAGUUGACAGAAGUGUCAGAGAAUUGCGCGCAGCUAGAUUUGCGAAAUCUUCUUUUGAUUUAUUGCAGUAUCACUGAUGCAAGAGAUAUCUUCAUUGAACACGUAGAUUGCCAAGUAUUAAUUUGCGAUUUCUCAUUUUAUUUUUUAUUUUUUGAAACACUCACUCAAUCAAGAUUUUAACGUUACGUAUCUUCCAAUUCGAAUUUCAAAGAAAUAACUACUAUACGUAAAAUCGACGAAAAACACAUUUUCUCUAUUUCACGGAUUUCUGUGAAAUUUUGUAUUUUCAUGUUCUUGGGUUACUGAUUACAAAUUUGAAAAGAUUUCAAAACUUUAAAAUAGCGGGUUCUAUAUGACUGUUAUAUAGGGACAUUAAAAAUCGAACUGAAAAGGCCAACUAAUUCCGAACAUUGCACUAGACCAGUAUAUUUAAAUCCUUGGAAAAUUAUAUUUGUUUGAAAAAUUCUGUAGUUUGGUUACAAUUCAAACAGUUUCUAAUUUUUUAUCUUUAGCUUUACAAUAAACAAUAAAGUAAUUGGUUUAUAAAAAAAACUUAGCAUGUGAAUAAUUCUGGAAGAAAAUACAUAUGUUAAAAUGUAAAGAAUAUUUAAUAAAAUUUUUUGCCUCUAAUUUCAAAUAUUUUUUAAGAAACUAGAUUUUCUCGGAAAAAAAUAGUUUUUUUUCGACUUUGAUUUCAAAUAAGAAAUAAAUAUUAAUAAAUAUGAAAAAUAUGUGAAAUGACACUUACUCUUAUCAAACUGUAAAUAAUUAAUCAAAAAUACAACAGAAAAAAGUAUAUCGAAACUGUCUCACAAAAUGACAAAAGAUUAAUAAAAAAUUAAAUAUUAAUUAUUAAAAAUGGAAUUUUUUGUCGUUGAAGUGAACAAAUAAUAAUCUACAAUUUGACACAACAAUUUUAUAUAUUCCAAUUAUUUAUCCGUGAUCUAAGUUGUAAUCUAAAUUGUAAUCUAAAUUCAAGUUGAAUUAAAUAUAGCGGAUAUCAACAUUUUUUAAAUGUUCAUAUUUUUUAAAAAACUUAUGUUUAGAUAUCUUUUACGAUGCCGAAUACAUAUCUAAUGCUAAAAUUGGUGAGUUUAGUACGAUAAAAUUAAUACAGUCAAUGAAAAUUCAAUCAUACUUAAAUUUUAGCAAAAAAUUAUAUAUAAAGAUUUUUCGUAUAUAUGUGUUAACUAUUAAUCAUCAUAUCUUAUUAACCGUACCAAAGUAUCUUUUUGUUAUAUGUGCAUGAAAAAUUGUCCAUUAUGCUUUUUUCCACAGAACAGUUAUCUUACAUAAGUAAUUAAUCAACUUGUCAUUUUUAUGCCAAUAAAUGGCAGUGAAAUAAUGCUUUUCUGCAAUCCUUUUUCACACGCUCACUUCGUUUACUGCACGCUUCCCCUUGUUAUUACACUAGUGGUACACAUUCGAUAACGUAAAUUUUAAUUGUAAUACAUAUUUUAUUAAAAAAAAAAUAGAACUUUAAUUUAAAAAUAAAAUUAAAAAAUUUUUUCUAUAAAGUAUCAAUAAGAUUCCAUGAAAACUUAUAAUUUUUAAAAGCAAAAAUGAAUUUUUAAAAAUAUCAAAUUUUUCCAGUAGUAAUAAUCAUUCUCUAAUAGUACAAACACUCGAGUUUGAUUCAGUACAAGAUUGUAAAUUAACAAUAAAGAUUAACUAUUAGUUUUCACAUUUUUAACUGUAUCUCACGCCUCUAUUGUAUCUUGGCGACAUGAUACAUAUACAUAUACGAUUUUGCCAAUACAGGUCGGACGCGUAUCUUUCGCAAAAGGUAGCCGCGAAACAAGACGCGAGUAACGAGGAUAAUCAAUCGGAUCCGUAAGAAGCGGGUGAUCCUGGAGAGGACAGGAUGGGUGUACCAAAAAAUAUAUGACAUGACGCAAUAUAUGUGUACCCCGCCUCUGCACAUCUAUCCAUUAAUGCGAGCACUCACGUUAAUUGGAUCAUCAACCUGUGUCUUCAACGCGCUGUUGGGGCGCCACGAUCAAUCAGCCCUGGAUCUCAGAAUCGAUUAUUUACGUUUUCUUUAUUUUCUUUCUUAUCUCAUAAAAAUGUGCUUUAUAGCUGUUCACGUACGAUGCGAGUAGCAACGCGUCCAGUGUGCGCGGUAACUUAACCCUCUAAAGAGCUGAGAAAAAAUGAAUAGACCUUUGCGAGAUAAUCGCCAGCUAUUUCCUAUCACGACAAAGAACAUGAUGAAGAAAACGCGUAUCAAAAGGCUGGAUGCGAAAAAUCUUGUUAUUUAAAAUCGAGAAAAUAAUAGGCAUAAUGACAUUGCACUUAUAAAAUCAAAGUCAUGCAAGAAUGGAAUCGUUUACAACAGUUAGCUUGCUUACUCAAACGCAUGUUUGAACGAACGUUAUAUUUUUUCGUCCCAUUCGUUUCUUAAUUCUCAGUUAAAUUAACCUUCGAAAUUUCGCCAAAACGUAUUCGUAUUCAUUCAUUAAAAAAUCGAACAAUUAUGCAAUAAUCCUAAACUGCUCCAUACAUUUCAAGUUCAAACCAAAGAUGUCGAGCGUAACGAAUUAAAGCGGAUUCAUUUCGUCGAGAAACACGAGAAACUAAUUCAAGUAAUUUGCCAGCGUUGCGUACACUAACUGCACUCCGGAGAAAAACAUCGUAUGCAUCGAGCUCGAAGAGAGGAAAGAAGAGGAGAUACGCGGUUAUGGACAAUGUUCCGCUAUACGCCUCGCGCGCUUUUUUACAAGACGCAAUUGAAAAUAGGUUUACGGUAUCACGCUUGUAGAUCAUUUUUCUCACAUACAUAGAAAAACAGAGAAAGAGAGAGAGAGAGAGAGAGAGAGAGAGAGAGAGAGAGAGAGAGAGAGAGAGAGAGAGAGAGAGAGAGAGAGAGAGAGAGAAGAGGAGAAGGGUUCGUUAACCGCUGACUUUUCUAUUAGAUUAUUGGACAAUUGAAUGACGGGACUGACGACGGAGCUACUAUCGGGAUCCUAGGAAUAAAUGGUGCUGAGACCUAUCAUCAAGGCGCGAUGUACACUGAUUAUAACACUCACGAGGUCUGAGCGACAACGCGAGUACAUCGAAAUGUGCGUAUACCCGACAUGAUAUACAUCCGUACCGGUUAAUCGACGCAGCUAGAAAAUAAGGUCACGGCACCACCAUUAUCCACUUUGCUCAGCACAACUAUAAUGAGCGGAAUUAACGCUUCUGCGAGGUAGCGACAGGUUUUGUGGAAAGUGUGAUGUUGUUCUCGUCAAUUACAUAUUCAAAUGACUCAUCGUUGUUUCUCAUUGCAUUUUACGGUGAGUCAGCUAGUCAUCAAGGGACAACCAUCAAUUUAUUUAGUAGUAUCUAUUAGUUACAUAAAUAUAUGUAAAAACUUCAUAGCCCGGCUGUUCGCGAAUAUUCUGCCGUGUUCUUUUGAACACAGUUGCAGAUGGAAAAUUAUAAUUCGUGAAAAAUUGUAAUGACUUCAAUAUGAACGUUAAUAUUUAAUCAUAAAUUUUUCAUGAUUUACGAUCUGAAUUCCAUUGAUUCAAGAAUUACCUAUGAAAUAAUACUCUCGAAAUGUUUUGUAAAAAGGAAUUUUUGGUUUAUAUAAUACGUAAAAAAAAAAUGUACAAAAAAAGGUAUUAGUGAGAAAAAUAGUUUUUCUUAUACAAUCUCACAAGGAUUAAAAUACUGCCAGGCAAAAGAUAAAGGUUCAACGAGGCUCUUGUUUCUCAGCGUCAUGACAAACAUCGAUUAAUCUCGUAGGAGAAUCGCGGUGGAUGGCACGAGGAGAGUAUUUCGACGAAUUUCAAAACGAUGAGGUCGUACCAUCUGGUACGAUGUCCCUUGUACUUGACUUGUCACGGCAUAAUUCCGUGCAAAAAAAUAACUAAAGAGAUGAUCGAUUAAAAAUUGAUAGGCACGCGAACAUUUGUCUUAAAAAAAAAAAACCAAAUUUAUGACAGCGCAAUAAUAAUUCGUUUUCAAGUUUCCAGGGCUCCUUAUCUGACUUUUUACCUUGACCAAAUGUGUCACAUGUACAAAUAAUAUCUUGGCCGUCAUCGACAUCGGCAAAUUUUUUACAAUGUUUUCUUAAAUAAUUAAAAAAUUUUUUAAUUAAUUUAAUUAAAUAAUAUGUAAUUUAAUUAAACAAUAAUUUAAUUUAAUUAGAUUAAUACAUUUUUCGAUUCCCAAAUUUUUCGCAGUUUUUCCAGUUUAUGCCGACUACUAACAAUCUGUAAUAUAUGUAAUAUCCAGACAAUUUUAUAAUAAUUUUUUACUUUGAGAAAAACUACCAGUUUUAUUUACUUCGCAUCCGAGCUCAGUAAUUUCUUCGUAAAUCGUGAAUAUUUAAUAAUCAAAUAAGUUUUCGCAAAUAUAGAGCAACAAAGUUAGAGUUUAUUUCUGAAAAGUGAGAGAAGAACGGUUAAGAAAGAUCAUACCCAAGUGCCUAGUUCCUAAGAAUAUUAUGUGUGAUCCAAAAAAGGAAUGUCAAUAAUAAGGUAUUAAGAAUUAUGCCAAUACAGUGUACGGCCGAGCAAAUUUUUUUAUCGCAUGUUUGGACAAUGGUCAUUGUUUCCCUGCUUUAAUUAUGACAAAUCAGCGCGCGAAAUGUCAACUCCUUCACUACAACUACAACUGGCGCACAAUGUAACAUUUUCACUUGUCGGUAUUGUGCAGCAACGCACUUCAAGCUUGUCAAAGUCUUUUUUUGCGUGAACAAAGCGCUGUGUCGGUGAGUCAAUUCGCCGUUUAUGCACUUAACUGUCUCUAACACUUCCUCCGAUCACUGGACAAGAUCAUAGGUUGUUGUGCUCUUUAAGAUUCUUUACAUCAAUCGUAUCAAAGUAUUUAGUUUCAAAAGAAACAAAAAAUUUUUGUAGACAGGAAAAAUAAAAUACAUCUUGAAGUAAAUUCUAAAUAAAAUAUAUUUUCAAAUACUUUGUUGUACAGAAAAAAAUAUUCUUGUUUUAAAAAUAUCUUGGUUUGCGAAAUGUCAAAUGUUGAAAUAGUAUUAAAAAACAUUUACUUGUAUAAAGAAAUUUUAUAUAAUUUCAAGAAAAAUAUAUUCUCAUUAUUCAAUAAUAAACUUCACGAGUUAAAAGGAAAAGAUAUCGGAUAAAAAAUAACAAUAUUUUCAAAUCAAGAAUUCCAAUUUUUUAGUACUAUUACUGUCAAAACAAUCAUAUUGUGUUUUUUUAGAUGACUAUUAUAAUAACUAGUAUAGUAUCAAAAUAAAAAUAUAAUAUUCUACUAAAUUUUAAGAAAUUAUAAAAUUCUCAAAAAGAGUGUUAAAUAUACAGAGUAUUUAAAAAAAGGAUCUAACAUUUAUAUAGUAAAUAAAGAUGCGUGUGACUCUGAAGUUGCGAGAGCGAUGGACUCGUAAGUGACAAAUCGCGAAGUCGAGUUGACAGACACUAGAGUUAUAUAUACGGAUUUUUAAGUCCGUGAUUUUAACAGAGAUUACAGAGGAACUCUUUAGCUCUAGAUGACGUAUAGGAACUGAUACUAUAUAGAUUCCAUCCGUUUACAUUAUUAUUAUAAUAAAUAAUACACAUACGUAAAAAAGUCUUAGUAAACAUAAAUCGAAAACUCAAUUAUUUCUCAGAUAUAAACAAUUCAUAUAUUUAUGGAUAUUUGUAGAAUGUAUUUCACAUAUCGUCCAUUUAUUAUAUUUUUACACGCUUAGUAUCUUCUUACACGCGAAGAAAAUUGUAUAUUAAGAAUUAUUAUGUACGAUAGUAGCUACGGACCAUAAGAAGAAAUUUCAGAGAAUUACACUAUAAGUAGUGUAAAUAUUAUGACAAUUUGAUAAAAUUUUGUAGUAAAAAUUACUAUAAUAAAUAGUAAACACGGAUCAAGGAAGAAAUUGCAACAUUUGUACCGUUUUUUAUCAAAUUAUUAUAGUAUUUACACUAUUUAUGGCGUAAUUCUCUGAAAUUUCUUUUAUAUACAAGGUGUCCCAGAAUGAUUAAUUUUUAUUUUACGGAGUGAAAGAAGGUAAAAUUUUAAACUAAAAGUUUUUUUUACUAAUUUUGGCUUAGAUUAUUAUUUACUGAAUUAUUAAUAAAUAAAAUUGCUCAAUCAGACGGCGCGCGGGCGGAGUAUGUAGAAGUGGGACAUUCUUUGAAACUCCACGCGCUUAUCAUGCAUUUCUUUAAUUAAAACUUUAUUUUAAUUUUUUAUAUUAAUGAAUAAAUAUAUUAUUGAAUAAAUAAAUUUGAGCCAAGUUUUUAUCUUCUAUUUGUUCGAAUAACGAAAUUUGCAAGUAAAUAAUAAAAUUUUAACUUUUACUUUAAAGUUGAUCUUUUUCUUUCUUAACUAAAUUCCAAGUACAUUAUAAUAAUUUCAAGAGUAAAAAAAGAGAGAAUUUGCUCUAAAUUGAAUAAUUUUUACAUGCAAGAAACAUGCACAAAACAUAAUGAGAAACCAGUUUCUCUAAUUUAUACGAAUCGGGUAAGAACUCGAACGAGUUGCAUACGACACACGAAGACCUUGGAACAUAGCUUCUUACGUUUCCUCUCUCGCAAUACAAUGCAACCGAUGAGAUAAUUGGAGGGCGGUACCUGCGAACGACGACACGAUUAUUCGUCCCGUGGGAGUUCUCUGAAUAUUCAAACGAUCGUCGUGUCCGUGACAUGGUAGUACAUCUAUCUUUUUACGCAGUUUCAUGAUCAACUUAUCAACGCAUUAGUACGCCGUUCGAUUCAGAUCCGUCUGAAUUUCACAUGCGUUAAUUAAACACAAAGUAGCUUAUUUUCAAACUCAAGAAAGAGGACAAUGAUAUUCCGUUGUUUCUUUCUUCUUGCUAAAUGCAAUUCGAUCUCUCAGUUUUACCUUGUCACAGUUGAAAUUUGAAAUAAAAAUUAUAAAAUAGACUUUUAGCAUAUGAUACUUACGGCAAUAUGUUGCCACAGUUUAAUUCUAUUUAAUUUACUAUACAUAUAACUUAAUUUGAUAAAAAAUUAAGUUUUUAGCAUAUCACAUAAUGUGAUAUGAUAAUUUUAUGCUUAAUAUGGCUUUUUUAUCACUUUAUCGUUCAAUUUUUCAAAAACGUAACAUAAUAGAACCCAUUAAAAAACCUUAAAAAUGUAAAAAAGAUACGGCAACUACAUAAAAGCGUGCUUUCAAAAAUGAAUUUGAGGUCAAUACAAUUAGCCAAGUAGAUUUAAAAAAAAAAUUUGAAGAAAUUUAAUAAACAUCCAUUAAAAAAAUUAUAUAAAAUUAAAAAAAAUAAAAUUAGCAAAGUAUAUAUUUUUUAAAAACUUAGAAAAACCAUAUAAAAAUUUAUUCAAAAAUUUAUAUCUGAAAAAUGGAAAUGUCAUCAAUGAUAAGAAAUACUGAAAUAAAAAACUUGGUGUGCCCAGCUUAUGCUGUAAUAAUAAGGUAUAAUAUUAGCCCUCUGCCUACACAUAGGGUUAUGGUAACCCCAGUCGAUUUUGAAAUGUUCGCUACUUAAAAGUAUUUAGCAAGGGGACGCUGAAACCGGGGAGGAAAAAAAGUUUGAACUCUGCUCUACUUAUUCCUCUUUGGACGUUGUGAAUGUUCUGAAAAUAACAGAAGUAGGAGCAUCGAAAGUGUGUGUUGGAGUUACAGUUACCCCGUGUGUAGGGAACGUAAAAAAAAAAAAAAAAAAA
rnacentral:lncRNA from 1 species